GAAUGCAGCUCUAAAUGGGUGGUAAAUUUCAUCUAAAGCUAAAUAUUGGUCGGAGACCGAUAGCGCACAAGUAGAGUGAUCGAAAGAUGAAAAGCACUUUGAAAAGAGAGUUAAACAGCAUGUGAAAUUGUUGAAAGGGAAGCGUUUGCGACCAGAGUCGGCCGCGGGGGUUCAGCGGGCAUUCGUUGCCCGUGCACUCCCCCGAGGGCGGGCCAGCGUCGGUUUCGACGGCCGGUCAAAGGCCCCCGGAAUGUGUCGCCUCUCGGGGCGUCUUAUAGCCGGGGGUGCAAUGCGGCCAGUCGGGACCGAGGAACGCGCUUCGGCACGGACGCUGGCUUAAUGGUCGUAAGCGACCCGUCUUGAAACACGGACCAAGGAGUCUAACAUCCACGCGAGUGUUCGGGUGUCAAACCCGUCCGCGCAGUGAAAGCGAACGGAGGUGGGAACCCUUAAGGGUGCACCAUCG
rnacentral:rRNA from 1 species